UCCAGACUCCUACGGGAGGCAGCAGUGGGGAAUAUUGGGCAAUGGGCGCAAGCCUGACCCAGCAAUGCCGCGUGAAGGAAGAAGGCCUUCGGGUUGUAAACUUCUUUUAUCAGGGACGAAGGAUGUGACGGUACCUGAUGAAUAAGCUCCGGCUAACUACGUGCCAGCAGCCGCGGUAAUACGUAGGGAGCAAGCGUUAUCCGGAUUUAUUGGGUUUAAAGGGUGCGUAGGCGGAAUGCCAAGUCAGCGGUAAAAUCGCGGGGCUCAACCUCGCUCCGCCGUUGAAACUGGCGUUCUUGAGUGGGCGAGAAGUAUGCGGAAUGCGUGGUGUAGCGGUGAAAUGCAUAGAUAUCACGCAGAACUCCGAUUGCGAAGGCAGCAUACCGGCGCCCAACUGACGCUGAAGCACGAAAGCGUGGGUAUCGAACAGGAUUAGAUACCCCGGUAAC
rnacentral:rRNA from 1 species